AGUGGCUUAAAUGGUUAAGUGCUUGGCUCUUAACCAAAAGGCUGGUGGUUCAAACCUCCCU
rnacentral:tRNA from 1 species